GGACCACCAGUGGCGAAGGCGUCUCACCAGAACGGACCUGACGGCAAGGGACGAAAGCUAGGGGCACGAACCGGAUUAGAUACCCGGGUAGUCCUAGCCGUAAACGAUACUCGCUAGGUGUCGGCCACGGUGCGACCGUGGUCGGUGCCGUAGGGAAGCCGUGAAGCGAGCCACCUGGGAAGUACGGCCGCAAGGCUGAAACUUAAAGGAAUUGGCGGGGGAGCAC
rnacentral:rRNA from 1 species